AAAAAGAGCCUCCUUAGCAACUUGGGCAGAAAGAGGUGGCGGUGGUGGUCUAAGGCAUCUCCUCCCUGCAAACCAGGGGGCCCUGAGGACACCUUCCUGCCUUGCACCCCUCUACUUCCUAACCCCAUACCUGCACGGGCAGCUCCAAGUCUCCCGAGACCUCACAGCCUGGGGUCUUCCCCCUAGAAACCACGGGCAAGGGGCCUGAGGCUCACUGAGCCCUUGUUAGGGGUGGCCUAGGGGGACAAGGGGAAAAUGGGGGUUGGGCUGGGGGCAGAGCCCUUGCUCAGGAGUCCCCUUGUCCCAAAGGCCCUCCAGGCCUCCCAGGGGAGUAUGCUGGGGGCAGGGAGAUAUGAAGGCCCUGAGGGUGGCUUCUCCCUAGGCCUCAGUCCACCUGCAAUAGGGAAAGGGGUCCAUGUGGAGGUCCUCGAGCCCCGUCAGCGAAAGAGGAGGAGGCCAACUGGGGGACUGGGUUGGGAGUACAGUUUGCAGUAUGGAAGCCCCGUGAGGCUGACCCCCACCCUGCGCAUCUCCCAUAAACAUCCUGGUGGGAGCUGAGUGGCCCUGGGCUGCCUCCGUCAGAGAUGACACAGAGGCCAGACAGGACCCCCCAGGGACAGACAGACGGACACACACAGCCUUGGACCUGCUGACCUCACACCAGCCAGCCCCACCUCACCCAGGGGUCGGCAGGGGCAAGGACCCCUGGCUCCCCACUUGGUGUCCCGGGGGCACCUUCCCCCCUGUCUGUGACCCCCCCCACUGGGUUUCCUCCCA